rnacentral:rRNA from 1 species
UACGUAGGUGGCAAGCGUUGUCCGGAUUUAUUGGGUUUAAAGGGUGCGUAGGCGGCCCUGUAAGUCAGUGCUGAAAUACCCCGGCUUAACCGGGGGGGGUGGCAUUGAUACUGCAGGGCUUGAGUACAGAUGAGGUAGGCGGAAUUGACGGUGUAGCGGUGAAAUGCAUAGAUAUCGGAAGGAACAUCAGUGGCGAAAAGCGGCUUCCUGGACCAGCACCGACGUCAGGCACGAAAGCGUGGGGAGCAAACAGG